UUCCACCGGAGCUUGCUCCACCGGAAAAAGAAGAGUGGCGAACGGGUGAGUAACACGUGGGUAACCUGCCCAUCAGAAGGGGAUAACACUUGGAAACAGGUGCUAAUACCGUAUAACAAUCGAAACCGCAUGGUUUUGAUUUGAAAGGCGCUUUCGGGUGUCGCUGAUGGAUGGACCCGCGGUGCAUUAGCUAGUUGGUGAGGUAACGGCUCACCAAGGCCACGAUGCAUAGCCGACCUGAGAGGGUGAUCGGCCACAUUGGGACUGAGACACGGCCCAAACUCCUACGGGAGGCAGCAGUAGGGAAUCUUCGGCAAUGGACGAAAGUCUGACCGAGCAACGCCGCGUGAGUGAAGAAGGUUUUCGGAUCGUAAAACUCUGUUGUUAGAGAAGAACAAGGAUGAGAGUAACUGUUCAUCCCUUGACGGUAUCUAACCAGAAAGCCACGGCUAACUACGUGCCAGCAGCCGCGGUAAUACGUAGGUGGCAAGCGUUGUCCGGAUUUAUUGGGCGUAAAGCGAGCGCAGGCGGUUUCUUAAGUCUGAUGUGAAAGCCCCCGGCUCAACCGGGGAGGGUCAUUGGAAACUGGGAGACUUGAGUGCAGAAGAGGAGAGUGGAAUUCCAUGUGUAGCGGUGAAUGCGUAGAUAUAUGGAGGAACACCAGUGGCGAAGGCGGCUCUCUGGUCUGUAACUGACGCUGAGGCUCGAAAGCGUGGGGAGCAAACAGGAUUAGAUACCCUGGUAGUCCACGCCGUAAACGAUGAGUGCUAAGUGUUGGAGGGUUUCCGCCCUUCAGUGCUGCAGCUAACGCAUUAAGCACUCCGCCUGGGGAGUACGACCGCAAGGUUGAAACUCAAAGGAAUUGACGGGGGCCCGCACAAGCGGUGGAGCAUGUGGUUUAAUUCGAAGCAACGCGAAGAACCUUACCAGGUCUUGACAUCCUUUGACCACUCUAGAGAUAGAGCUUCCCCUUCGGGGGCAAAGUGACAGGUGGUGCAUGGUUGUCGUCAGCUCGUGUCGUGAGAUGUUGGGUUAAGUCCCGCAACGAGCGCAACCCUUAUUGUUAGUUGCCAUCAUUUAGUUGGGCACUCUAGCAAGACUGCCGGUGACAAACCGGAGGAAGGUGGGGAUGACGUCAAAUCAUCAUGCCCCUUAUGACCUGGGCUACACACGUGCUACAAUGGGAAGUACAACGAGUCGCGAAGUCGCGAGGCUAAGCUAAUCUCUUAAAGCUUCUCUCAGUUCGGAUUGUAGGCUGCAACUCGCCUACAUGAAGCCGGAAUCGCUAGUAAUCGCGGAUCAGCACGCCGCGGUGAAUACGUUCCCGGGCCUUGUACACACCGCCCGUCACACCACGAGAGU
rnacentral:rRNA from 1 species